CUGACAUCGUAGAAGGACCAUUCUAGCAUCUGAUUGGAUUUUGCACCUGAGUCUGACAUCGUAGAAGGACCAUUCUUGCAUCAGAUUGAAUUUUGCACCUGAGUCUGACGUCGUAAAAGGACCAUUCUUGCAUCAGAUUGGAUUUUGCACCUGAGUCUGACAUCUUAGAAGGACUAUUCUUGCAUCAGAUUGGAUUUUGCACCUGAGUCUGACGUCGUAGAAGCACCAUUCUAGUAUCAGAUUGGAUUUUGCACCUGAGCCUGACAUCGUAGAUGGACCAUUCUUGCAUCAUAUUGUUAAUAUUUAAUUUCUUUUUCAUUUUCUGCUUGUGUGUUUUCUUUAAUAAAUAAUAUUUUUAAGUA